CGCCAGACUCCUACGGGAGGCAGCAGUGGGGAAUAUUGCACAAUGGGGGAAACCCUGAUGCAGCGACGCCGCGUGAGCGAUGAAGUAUUUCGGUAUGUAAAGCUCUAUCAGCAGGGAAGAAAAUGACGGUACCUGACUAAGAAGCCCCGGCUAACUACGUGCCAGCAGCCGCGGUAAUACGUAGGGGGCAAGCGUUAUCCGGAUUUACUGGGUGUAAAGGGAGCGUAGACGGCAAUGCAAGCCAGAUGUGAAAGCCCGGGGCUCAACCCCGGGACUGCAUUUGGAACUGUGUAGCUGGAGUGUCGGAGAGGCAGGCGGAAUUCCUAGUGUAGCGGUGAAAUGCGUAGAUAUUAGGAGGAACACCAGUGGCGAAGGCGGCCUGCUGGACGAUGACUGACGUUGAGGCUCGAAAGCGUGGGGAGCAAACAGGAUUAGAUACCCCCGUACUA
rnacentral:rRNA from 1 species